UGGGGAAUUUUCCGCAAUGGGCGAAAGCCUGACGGAGCAAUGCCGCGUGGAGGUGGAAGGCUUACGGGUCGUCAACUUCUUUUCUCGGAGAAGAAACAAUGACGGUAUCUGAGGAAUAAGCAUCGGCUAACUCUGUGCCAG
rnacentral:rRNA from 1 species